GCUUUUAUCAUAUGCCAGGCAAUGUACUGAGAAGCUUUUGGGCUUGUUGAAAUCCGAAAAUAAGCCCACAAAGUGGAGAUUAUCAUUCUACCUAUUUUACAGAUGUCUGUGGGCACUGAAGUUUUCUCUUCAGACUGGAUAUGAGCCAGCAUCCCAGCACUUUGUGAGUUGAGUGUCAGGACAAGGUGCGACUUGAUUCUCCCAGAAAUCUUUCUUGUUUUAGAGAUAGCCUCCUGGGCCAGGGACUCUUAAGGACCAAAGUUCAAUUCCCACCACUCCCCAUUACACUGGGAACUUCAGAAUGUGCGAGUUCCACGUUUCCCGGUGCUGACAGAUCAGAGGAGGACCAGACGCGACAACAUGGCUGCUGCUGGAGGGGCUGAGAGGUGACUGAUUAGCUUAAGCCUGCACAGCCCGUGGAGGAAGCACCUCGUUCCUGCCUUCUCAAGUGAUAAAGUCUAUGCUGGAAUACAGAGCUCCCUGCUCUGAGCACCUAAAGUCUUGAUUUUUCUGGGGGAAAACUCUCUGUAGCUCUUUCUUCUAGUAUUAUUUGUGUUAGUGAGUAACUCCUUAACCAGAUUGUGAGCUCCUGGAGAGUUGAGAGUAUGUUUUGGUCUUUGUAUCUAUGAAGUGCUGGGUUAUGCCUUUACUCCAGGGCCAUGAUUGAAAAAAAAUGUUAGAGGGAGAAAAUUGCAAGAUGAUCACCACAUUUUGUCCAAUUGAAAAG
rnacentral:lncRNA from 1 species